GACGAACGCUGGCGGCGUGCUUAACACAUGCAAGUCGAACGGAAAGGCCCUGCUUUUGUGGGGUGCUCGAGUGGCGAACGGGUGAUUAACACGUGAGUAACCUGCCCUUGACUUUGGGUUAACUUCAGGAAACUGGGGCUAAUACCGGAUCGGAGCUCCUGCUGCAUGGUGGGGGUUGGAAAGUUUCGGCGGUUGGGGAUGGACUCGCGGCUUAUCAGCUUGUUGGUGGGGUAGUGGCUUACCAAGGCUUUGACGGGUAGCCGGCCUGAGAGGGUGACCGGCCACAAGGGGACUGAGAUACGGACCAGACGCGUACGGGAGGCAGCAGUGGGGAAUAUUGCACAAUGGGCGGAAGCCUGAUGCAGCAACGCCGCGUGCGGGAUGACGGCCUUCGGGGUGUAAACCGCUUUCGCCUGUGACGAAGCGUGAGUGACGGUAAUGGGUAAAGAAGCACCGGCUAACUACGUG
rnacentral:rRNA from 1 species